UACGUAGGGGGCUAGCGUUGUCCGGAAUCAUUGGGCGUAAAGAGCGUGUAGGCGGCCCGGUAAGUCCGCUGUGAAAGUCGGGGGCUCAACCCUCGAAUGCCGGUGGAUACUGUCGGGCUAGAGUGCGGAAGAGGCGAGUGGAAUUCCUGGUGUAGCGGUGAAAUGCGCAGAUAUCAGGAGGAACACCGGUGGCGAAGGCGGCGUCCUGGACCAACACUGACACUGAUGAGCGAAAGCCAGGGGAGCAAACGGG
rnacentral:rRNA from 1 species